CACACCUCUAUGUGCUUGAACACUAAAGCCCGGAGAAAGCUCUAUCUCACGUGGACAAAUACCAUGAGAAGAAAAAGGGAACAGAAGACAGGAGAGGAAUCUGGGAAAUACAACAAACCUCCUCCCUUUCUCAUCCUUCUGCUCCAAGCCAUUGGAGACAAAGGUUUCUGUACUGGAGAAAGAAGGAAGGCUUUGAAUCAAAUGUAAGAUUGAAAAUUGCUAAAGUUUAAACAAAGUGUUGACUGAAAUGAGAUUGUUUUAAUAAAAGUGGAAAGGUGAAAGAAAAGAUGACGUCACACAAAGAUGUCCUCUAGGAAGCCUCUUGUUCCGCUGUUGAUGGGGCUUUGACAGAGAAUAGUGGAAAGAAGGAAUUGGCAAAAAUUAAAAUUUUAAUCAAACCAGUCACAUGAUUUGAUUUUCAGACCAUGAACAUAGGUAUUAACAUCCCCAUUUUACUGUUGAGAAGUCUUGAGCCCAGAAAAGUUAAGCUUGAUCAUAUGUGAACUAUGUAAUAUACAACUGAGAACUAUGUAACAUACAACUGAGAUUCAAACAAUCCUAUUUUACUGUCCCUGCACCAUGAAACAUACUUAAAAUGGACAUGACCCAUUCAUGCCCUUUAUCUACUAACAUGAAAUUUUACCAUACAUAUCUUCACAUUUCAAACUCCUCUCCAUAGUUCAAUGUUAAUUUUAAAUAUUACCUUUUUAUCUGAAAACUACGUUUACCUAGUCAAAACUAUAUCCACAGAAUUAAUUUCUUCUUCUACAAUAAUCUCACAGAAUUUUAUUAAGACUUCUGUUGUAGCCUAUGUCAGGCCUCUGAGCCCAAGCCAAGCCAUCGCAUCCCCUG
rnacentral:lncRNA from 10 species